GAUGAACGCUGGCGGCGUGCCUAAUACAUGCAAGUCGAGCGAACAGAUGAGGAGCUUGCUCCUCUGACGUUAGCGGCGGACGGGUGUGUAACACGUGGAUAACCUACCUAUAAGACUGGGAUAACUUCGGGAAACCGGAGCUAAUACCGGAUAAUAUAUUGAACCGCAUGGUUCAAUAGUGAAGUCGGGUUUUCGGUCACGUAUAGGUGGAUCCACGCCGCGUUAGCUAGUUGGUAAGUUAACGGCUUACCAAGGCAACGAUGCGUAGCCGACCUGAGAGGGUGAUCGGCCACACUGGAACUGAGACACGGUCCAGACUCCUACGGGAGGCAGCAGUAGGGAAUCGUCCGCAAUGGGGGAAGGCCUGACGGAGCAACGCCGCGUGAGUGAUGAAGGCCUUCGGAUCGUAAAGCUCUGUUAUUAGGGAAGAACAAAUGUGUAAGUAACUAUGCACGUCUUGACGGUACCUAAUCAGAAAGCCCCGGCUAACUACGUG
rnacentral:rRNA from 1 species